CCUACGGGUGGCUGCAGUGGGGGAUAUUGCACAAUGGGGGAAACCCUGAUGCAGCGACGCCGCGUGUGGGAAGACGGUCCUCUGGAUUGUAAACCACUGUCCCCAGGGACGAAGAUGACGGUACCUGGGGAGGAAGCUCCGGCUAACUACGUGCCAGCAGCCGCGGUAAUACGUAGGGAGCGAGCGUUGUCCGGAAUUACGGGGUGUAACGGGAGCGUAGGCGGGGAUGCAAGUUGGGUGGCAAAACUACCGGCUAAACUGGUAGUCGCACUCAAAACUGCAGCUCUUGAGUGAAGUAGAGGAAGGCGGAAUUCCUAGUGUAGCGGUGAAAUGCGUAGAUAUUAGGAGGAACACCAGUGGCGAAGGCGGCCUGCUGGGCUUUUACUGACGCUGAGGCUCGAAAGUGUGGGGAGCAAACAGGAUUAGAUACCCUGGUAGUC
rnacentral:rRNA from 1 species